rnacentral:rRNA from 1 species
GACAGAGGGUGCAAACGUUGUUCGGAAUCACUGGGCGUAAAGGGGUGCGUAGGCGGGUUCUUAAGUCAGAGGUGAAAUCCUGGAGCUCAACUCCAGAACUGCCUUUGAUACUGAGAGUCUUGAGUCCGGAAGAGGAGAGUGGAAUUCCUGGUGUAGCGGUGAAAUGCGCAGAUAUCAGGAAGAACACCCGUGGCGAAGGCGGCUCUCUGGUACGUGACUGACGCUGAGACGCGAA